rnacentral:rRNA from 1 species
UACGAAGGGGGCUAGCGUUGCUCGGAAUCACUGGGCGUAAAGGGUGCGUAGGCGGGUCUUUAAGUCAGGGGUGAAAUCCUGGAGCUCAACUCCAGAACUGCCUUUGAUACUGAAGAUCUUGAGUUCGGGAGAGGUGAGUGGAAUUCCGAGUGUAGAGGUGAAAUUCGUAGAUAUUCGGAAGAACACCAGUGGCGAAGGCGAGUCUCUGGACAUUUCCUGACGCUGAGGCACGAAAGCCAGGGGAGCAAACGGG